rnacentral:rRNA from 1 species
GAUGAACGCUGGCGGCGUGCCUAAUACAUGCAAGUCGAGCGAACGGACGAGAAGCUUGCUUCUCUGAUGUUAGCGGCGGACGGGUGAGUAACACGUGGAUAACCUACCUAUAAGACUGGGAUAACUUCGGGACACCGGAGCUAAUACCGGAUAAUAUCUUGAACCGCAUGGUUCAAUAGUGAAAGACGGUCUUGCUGUCACUUAUAGAUGCAUCCGCGCUGCAUUAGCUAGUUGGUAAGGUAACGGCUUACCAAGGCAAGUAUGCAUAGCCGACCUGAUAGGGGGAUAGGCCACACUGGAGGUGAGACACGGUCCAGACUCCUACGGGAGGCAGCAGUAGGGAAUCUGCCGCAGUGGGCGAAAGCCUGACGGAGCAGCGCCGCGUGAGUGAUGGAGGUGUUCGGAGCGUAAAACUCUGUUAUUAGGGAAGAACAGCUGUGUAAGUAACUGUGCAGAGCUUGACGGUACCUAGUCAGAAAGCCACGGCUAACUACGUG